AGCAGCAAAACUGCUUCCCUCUGCUGACAAAGGGCUAAGGGACACUUGUCUAUCCCACAAAGACCUUGCAGACACUGAGGACACGACAGUGAACAAAGCAGACAAAGUUCUUGGCCCUCAACAAAGUGAAGCAUCACACAGUCCAGGGGAUUGAACCCAGGGCCUCCGGCAUGCUAGGAGUCAUGGGUAGCUGUUUGAUCACAAGAAAUGUGCCCUGUCUGAAGAGCCAUGUGCCAAAACAUUUGCUGCAUUUACUGCUGCGCUGGGCUGUAAAAUCGACCAAGGCAGGAACUUUCAUUGGUUUUGUUUGUCACUGUGUCCC